UCUCUCUUUUUCCCAGUUAUUAACAACUCAUCUAUAUAUUGAAGUACUCUGAUCCCUGGGUAGAAGUCAAAGUCUUCCAAGAGUUUUCCCAGGACUUGCCCAAACAAGUUUAGGAGAUUCUGUGUAGCCCUAUGGAACUCACAGAGAAUGUUACUUCCUGGGUGUAUGAAGCAGAUGUGGAAAAUUUUAUUGUUUAUAAACAAAAACUCUCAAAUUUAGCCAGCCAAGUUGAAGAACCUGAGGCUAACAGAGGUGAACUAACUUGUCAAGGAUCACACAGCUAUUAUCUGACACCAGAUUUGCACUUAUGUCUUCCUGACUCCAAGUCCAGCAAUCUAUCCACUGUGCCACCUAGCUGCUCUCUUGAGGAUAAGUGACCUUCCCAACAUCACAUAGCAGAAUGUGCCAGGACCAAGGGAACAUAUCAUACCAGAAGCCAAGAACACGGAUUAUUUCCCUUCUCUCAAAUUCAUAGAAACCUGACAUUUCUUCAGUUUUAUCAAACAAAAAAGAAGGGUCAGCUCAUCCUAUAUUCACAGAUUCCAGAUGUCACAUCAACUCAUA